CACAAAGGGAUGGUCUCCAGGAGCUCCUGCUGGACUGAAGCUGGGAAACGCUGUAGCCCUGGCUGUGUCCCUUCUCCAGACCUUUGGCCAUGCUGUCCCUCCUGCCUGGACUGGCCUCCCAGCCUCUCAGUGGCACCUCCUUCAAAAUUAGCUUGAGGCCGCUUCAUCCACCCAACGCUGAUGACACAGCAUGAAAAUCAGACAGGCCCCAGAACGGGAGGACUUGGAGGUUCACACUUUUUAGACUCCGAAAAGCACCAAUUUAUUGUCACUUUUCCCCUCUUUUACACAGCACCUGCAUCUGCUCCCCCCUCUCCCAGCCCAGGUUGGUGGGGAAUUGCAGGAGGCUGGUCCAGGGCUGAGGCAGCGCCUGGCAUGUGCUGGUGCAUAGUUUGGGCUGAGUAAAUGCUGACCCGCUCCCUCCCUUGUACACGUUUGCCUGCAUUUGCCCCCUCAAGCCCCUUGGCACCCACCUUUCUUGCUCACCAAGCACGUUGACACCGGAGAGAGAGACGGGAAGUUUGUCCGCCACUGUGCAUCCCUCGUCGAGAGGGGCCGAUGGGCCUGGGACAGGGGCCUCACCUCCCCUGCUGGUCCCUCCCCUGUUCCCAGCCCCAGGUCCUCACCCGCUUUGCCUGGCCUGGCGCCUGCCUCUGGUUCGCCGUCUGGGAGGUGUCUGUGGGGACAGGGAAGCAGCUGCUGGC